CUCAGAGUGAACGCUGGCGGCAGGCCUAAUACAUGCAAGUCGAACGGCAGCACAGCAGAGCUUGCUCUGUGGGUGGCGAGUGGCGGACGGGUGAGGAAUACAUGGGAAUCUGCCCAGUCGUGGGGAUAACGUAGGGAAACUUACGCUAAUACCGCAUGCGCCCUUCGGGGGAAAGCCGGGGACCUUCGGGCCUGGCGCGAUUGGAUGAGCCCAUGUCGGAUUAGCUAGUUGGCGGGGUAAUGGCCCACCAAGGCGACGAUCCGUAGCUGGGUCUGAGAGGAUGAUCAGCCACACUGGAACUGAGACACGGUCCAGACUCCUACGGGAGGCAGCAGUAGGGAAUAUUGGACAAUGGGCGCAAGCCUGAUCCAGCCAUGCCGCGUGAGUGAAGAAGGCCCUCGGGUUGUAAAGCUCUUUUGUCCGGAAAGAAAGGCGCCGGGUUAAUACCCUGGUGUCCUGACGGUACCGGAAGAAUAAGCACCGGCUAACUUCGUG
rnacentral:rRNA from 1 species